rnacentral:rRNA from 1 species
AUACGUAGGUGGCAAGCGUUGUCCGGAUUUACUGGGUGUAAAGGGCGUGUAGGCGGAGAUGCAAGUCAGGAGUGAAAUCUAGGGGCUCAACCCCUAAACUGCUUUUGAAACUGUAUCCCUUGAGUAUCGGAGAGGCAGGCGGAAUUCCUAGUGUAGCGGUGAAAUGCGUAGAUAUUAGGAGGAACACCAGUGGCGAAGGCGGCCUGCUGGACGACAACUGACGCUGAGGCGCGAAAGCGUGGGGAGCAACAGGAUUAGAUACCCUGGUAGUCCACGCUGUAAACGAUGAAUACUAGGUGUGGGGGGACUGACCCCCUCCGUGCCGCAGUUAACACAAUAAGUAUUCCACCUGGGGAGUACGAUCGCAAGAUUGAAACUCAAAGGAAUUGACGGGG